AUAGCCUCUCGAAUAACAAGAAUGUUGAUUUAUUUCCACACCAUUUGGUUCAGACAAGAGGCUUACAGUAACACGCAGCAUAUAGGUAUAUUUUUACCCAUUCUUCUUUAGUUUGGGAUAUUUCCUUGCAGCAUUGGAUAUUU